UUGGAAAUGAAGUGCGGGCGAUGCGGUACCGGCCAAGGGCGGUGUGUGGAUCCUAAUAAAACCCAUCCAAAUCGCGAAGAGAGACAUAUUCCAAAAACCUGAGAACUGAACCCCCAUUUCUGAACCCGGCCGCCACCGUCAUUCUUUACGAUAUCGCUCCAGUUCAGCCGCGCAAGGGAUUCUGCUGCCGUCGCUAAGUCCAGUCAAGUCACCGCUGCCUCUGCUCUUCUCCUUUCCGACCACGAGGAUCCCUGUUGCCGUCGCGCAACUCUCCUUCGAUCGGACCAAGUGAACCGCAAAAUUAGGCCGUUAACCCAAAUAUUCUCUAACUCUCUCUCUCUCUCGCGUUCUCUCACUCACGCCCCCGUAUCCCUGCAUCUGUCGAGCUCGAUCAACCGACGCGACCGUCGUCAAUCUCAAUCCAGCCAGAUAGUUCUGAGGCACUUUAUUUGACAAGGCAAAGAGGAUCUCCUGCUACUACUGGACGAUUUGAUAGAUCACCUGCCCAUCCGUUUCUUUCAGGUAGUGGUAGUAGAAGAAAAAACGAGCAAAAGAAAUGGCAGAGGACAAAGGC
rnacentral:misc_RNA from 1 species